GUACACAAAAAUGCACAUAUUGUGAGCUCGAUGAGUAGGGCGGGACACGUGGUAUCCUGUCUGAAUAUGGGGGGACCAUCCUCCAAGGCUAAAUACUCCUGACUGACCGAUAGUGAACCAGUACCGUGAGGGAAAGGCGAAAAGAACCCCGGCGAGGGGAGUGAAAAAGAACCUGAAACCGUGUACGUACAAGCAGUGGGAGCCUCUUUAUGGGGUGACUGCGUACCUUUUGUAUAAUGGGUCAGCGACUUAUAUUCUGUAGCAAGGUUAACCGAAUAGGGGAGCCGAAGGGAAACCGAGUCUUAACUGGGCGUUAAGUUGCAGGGUAUAGACCCGAAACCCGGUGAUCUAGCCAUGGGCAGGUUGAAGGUUGGGUAACACUAACUGGAGGACCGAACCGACUAAUGUUGAAAAAUUAGCGGAUGACUUGUGGCUGGGGGUGAAAGGCCAAUCAAACCGGGAGAUAGCUGGUUCUCCCCGAAAGCUAUUUAGGUAGCGCCUCGUGAAUUCAUCUCCGGGGGUAGAGCACUGUUUCGGCAAGGGGGUCAUCCCGACUUACCAACCCGAUGCAAACUGCGAAUACCGGAGAAUGUUAUCACGGGAGACACACGGCGGGUGCUAACGUCCGUCGUGAAGAGGGAAACAACCCAGACCGCCAGCUAAGGUCCCAAAGUCAUGGUUAAGUGGGAAACGAUGUGGGAAGGCCCAGACAGCCAGGAUGUUGGCUUAGAAGCAGCCAUCAUUUAAAGAAAGCGUAAUAGCUCACUGGUCGAGUCGGCCUGCGCGGAAGAUGUAACGGGGCUAAACCAUGCACCGAAGCUGCGGCAGCGACACUAUGUGUUGUUGGGUAGGGGAGCGUUCUGUAAGCCUGUGAAGGUGGCCUGUGAGGGUUGCUGGAGGUAUCAGAAGUGCGAAUGCUGACAUAAGUAACGAUAAAGCGGGUGAAAAGCCCGCUCGCCGGAAGACCAAGGGUUCCUGUCCAACGUUAAUCGGGGCAGGGUGAGUCGACCCCUAAGGCGAGGCCGAAAGGCGUAGUCGAUGGGAAACAGGUUAAUAUUCCUGUACUUGGUGUUACUGCGAAGGGGGGACGGAGAAGGCUAUGUUGGCCGGGCGACGGUUGUCCCGGUUUAAGCGUGUAGGCUGGUUUUCCAGGCAAAUCCGGAAAACC
rnacentral:rRNA from 1 species